CCUGUUAAGUCAGGCAACGAGCGAGACCCACGCCAACAGUUGCCAGCUCGUCCUCCGGGGAUGGUGGGGACGACUGUUGGGACCGCCUCUGCUAAAGAGGAGGAAGGAAUGGGCAACGGUAGGUCAGCAUGCCCCGAAUUAUCUGGGCUACACGCGGGCUACAAUGGGUGGGACAAUGGGUAUCGACACCGAAAGGUGAAGGCAAUCUCCUAAACCCAUCCGUAGUUCGGAUUGUGGGCUGCAACUCGCCCACAUGAAGCUGGAAUCUGUAGUAAUCGUGUCUCAAAAUGGCACGGUGAAUAUGUCCCUGCUCCUU
rnacentral:rRNA from 1 species